CCUACGGGUGGCAGCAGUGGGGAAUAUUGGGCAAUGGGGGAAAGCCUGACGCAGCAAAGCCGCGUGAAGGAAGAAGGCUUUCGGGAUGUAAAGUUCUUUUAAGAGGGAAGAGCAGAAGACGGUACCUCUUGAAUAAGCCACGGCUAACUACGUGCCAGCAGCCGGUGUAAUGCGUAGGUGGCAAGCGUUGUCCGGAUUUACUGGGUGGAAAGGGCGUGCAGACGGGAAGACAAGUCAGAUGUGAAACCCCGCGGCUCAACCGCGGAACUGCAUUUGAAACUGUUUGUCUUGAGUACCGGAGAGGUAAUCGGAAUUCCUUGUGUAGCGGUGAAAUGCGUAGAUAUAAGGAAGAACACCAGUGGCGAAGGCGGAUGACUGGACGGCAACUGACGGUGAGGCGCGAAAGCGUGGGGAGCAAACAGGAUUAGAUACCCCUGUAGUC
rnacentral:rRNA from 1 species